UACAGAGGGUGCAAGCGUUAAUCGGAAUUACUGGGCGUAAAGCGCGCGUAGGUGGUUCGUUAAGUUGGAUGUGAAAUCCCCGGGCUCAACCUGGGAACUGCAUUCAAAACUGUCGAGCUAGAGUAUGGUAGAGGGUGGUGGAAUUUCCUGUGUAGUGGUGAAAUGCGUAGAUAUAGGAAGGAACACCAGUGGCGAAGGCGACCACCUGGACUGAUACUGACACUGAGGUGCGAAAGCGUGGGGAGCAAACAGG
rnacentral:rRNA from 1 species